UCUGCUCACUCUCUCGCCGCCGCAGGAGGAGUGCGCGCAGGGGGGUGGCGGGUCAAGGUCCGCUCGCCGGCGCCGCCCGCUGAAUGGCGGAUCCAUGCGCACCCUCUCCGACGACCUCCCGGGCACGCCCCCGCUGGCAACGGCAAGGACCACACACUCCGUCCACCAGCAGUAGCAGGACCGCCACCGUUGCCUGUCCUCUUUGAUUCGAGAUCCAUGCUGCACCACUUCGUCCAGGUGAGGUUCUCUGUUUUGUGCAAAGUGCAGACUGGGAUGGUUUCUCUAAGCAGCCAAUCAUUACAACAUAAGACUGCUGCUACCGGUCAUUAAUAUGAAUUUUGUUAUUUGAUUGAUUUGUGGUGGCUGGCAAUUUUUUAGGCUUCAGAUUCCCUAUGAUGGUCGCCGUACUGUGAAGACUAUGGUGCAAUACUUCUAGAGAUAUAUGGUUUCCUGCAAGUGGGUAAUCAGCGAGGGCCGGGCUUAUCUCCCUAUGGAGGUUAGUAUCUUUGACAACCUUGCUUUAUUUAACACUUCAGGUUAGAAGUACGGAGAAGUAGCUACAGAAAUAAAUCACCCUGUGGGUAACCAAAAUACAUCUUUCCCUUAUCUUACAAUUAUUCUUGUGAGGUUAGGAGUCCACUGCUUCUUAAGUUGUUAUUUGUUUUGGUGCAAACAAUAUCAUUUGUUUUUCAUCAUGUCAUACUUAAUCUAUGGCACCAUGUAUGAUUAGUAUUAGACAGAUUAAUUUUUGUGUUCUCCAUCCUCUACAACAACCACAAAUAAAAAUCCAUGUGUAUAAAUUUUUUUGUGUUCUCCAUCCUCUACAACAAACCAUGGACCUACACGGCACUAGGUAUAAAAAAUCCUCAUCCCUUCCUUUUCUAUUUCUUCUCAUACAAUAGAUUGAACACCCACGGUUCAGUCUGGGUUCAUAAGGUGUGUAUUUUCCAAUGUAUUCGGUUGAUGCUUCAUCUGAUUGAACAAGGAUUUUUUGUUCCUAUUGUUUUACCAUAUUUAAUUCAAACUUUGGAUAUCUACAGAGUUGGAAUCAUUAACCAUUUUCAUUUUCUAAAAGUGUAGACAUUUGAUUUAAUUGCAUAAUUAUGUCAGGGAAGAAGAUAUCUUUAUGUUAGACUUGAUGGAUCAACAUUCAUUAAUAAAAGGCGAAAGUCGGUGAACCAUUAUCAUUUUCUAAAAUUACAGUUUUACAUUCAUCUAUUGUUGUUGGUUUUACAGUAUAUUUUGGCCUGCAAAGAGUAAUGAGUCAUGUUUAUUUCCUGAAAUGUAUUGUUUUUUAUUAUAAUUGGUUUCUACACUCUUUAAUUGGUUCCCUUUGCCUUUAUGUUGUCAUGCCAUUAUGUCAAUGUGUUUCUAGCAGUAGGUCCUACAACUACGGAAAACGGGUAGUUUGAUUGAAUCAUGCUUGGUUAUAUCCAUAUACUAUUUGCCUAAAAAGAUUUUUUACUUUACCCAACUCUGGAUGUAUCAUGAAUCAUGCUCUAUCAACAUGAUUGUUGUGUGUGUUUCUGUUAUUGCUUACAAAGCUAUUUCUGAAAUGUUUAAGUUACACAUGAAGUUCUCAACUUCACAACAUGUAGCUCUGCCAUACUGAAAUGUUGAUCCUGCAAGUACAAUGUUGUCUUCCCAAGUUCAUGUGUUCUGACUAGCUCCAUUCUUAUUAUGUCCUGCCGCCCAACAAGCAGAUGUUGUAGUUUGCAUCUAAGUGUUGUAUUGAAUCUUGCCUAAUGUACCAUGUCGGUCCUCCUGGAAGAUGCUGUCAGCGAAUGCGCAAGUAUAUAUGCAAUACUUGUGGUUAAUUAGUUGUUUCAAUGGUGCAAUAUAUAUAUCCACACCUUUUGAUUUUGCUAUGCAAAAGUAUAUUUCUUGUGUAUUAUAGUGCUUUCUUUGUUAUCGGGUUUGAUAUGAUUGGACCAGAUGAGGCAUUUGAGACUCGAGCUCUGAGGCACUAGACAUGAUAAACAAGCUUGCCAGUGGUUACUUGUAUGUUCUGAGAUACAUGAGCUCCUUCUCAGAUCAGCUUCAUAAUGUCAUAGCACAUGGCUUUCCUCCUAUAGGACAAAAGCAAUAAUCUGAAGAAGAGGUUGCAUGCCAUAAAAAUACAGUCUCAGGCACAAGAGCAUGAGGUGUUUGCACCAUCUGGAGUUGCUUUCUUCACACUGAGGCCAUGGCGUUGAUCGUCGAUGGAUGUCACCGGUCACUCUGAUAAGUAUUCGGUGAUGUCAUGCCACGAGCAUGUGAUCAUCGUGUAAACUACCAUGUGAUCUCCCUCUCCUUUUGUGAACAUGACCUCUUUGUUGAGUCUAUCCAUUCUUUUGUACUCAAUAUCCCGCACUUAAUGUCAAGUGAUAUACUUGCUCUCUAAUGUUCACACUUUUAGUACUAAACUUAAUGUCAAGUGGUUACCUUUUGUAGUCUCAUGAACACACUGAACUCGAUGCUGCCUAUAACCUCAUGACGAUGUUGAACUCAAUGAUGUCUUCAUUAUAUUAUAAUUUAAUGUUCUCUCUUUCUUUUAUUUUGUUGUCCUGCCUGUAUACAUAUGCUAAAUCAAGAU